rnacentral:rRNA from 1 species
UACGUAGGGUCCGAGCGUUGUCCGGAAUUAUUGGGCGUAAAGGGCUCGUAGGCGGUCUGUUGCGUCGGGAGUGAAAACUUACAGCUUAACUGUGAGCGUGCUUCCGAUACGGGCAGACUUGAGGUAUUCAGGGGAGAACGGAAUUCCUGGUGUAGCGGUGAAAUGCGCAGAUAUCAGGAGGAACACCGGUGGCGAAGGCAGUUCUCUGGGCCGUAACUGACGCUGAGGAGCGAAAGCGUGGGGAGCGAACAGG